AAGGAAUUAGUUUAAAAAAAACAACAGACUUCGAACCAGUUAACUUAGGUCCACCCCUAAAUUCCUAA
rnacentral:tRNA from 1 species